GUUGUCCAGAAAAUGAAUAUCAGUUCAGCUUUAAAAAUACCAAAAAAAGAAAUAAAUUAUACUGUAUUUUUAAAAGUUAGUCUAAAAAGGUACAGCCUUUUAGAAACGGAUACAACCUUGACUAGAGAGUAAAAAUUUUCAAUACCAUAGUAGGCCUAAAAGCAGCCAUCAAUUAAGAAAGCGUUAAAGCUCAACAAUAAAACCAUAUUAAUUUCAAUAAUUAACAAUCAACUCCUAACUUAAUACUGGACUAAUCUAUAAGAAUAGAAGCAAUAAUGUUAACAUGAGUAACAAGAAGUACCUUCUCCCUGCAUAAGUUUAAGUCAGUAUCUGAUAAUAUCCUGACCAUUAACAGCAAAAUAAGAAUAACCCAACUAUAGAUAACUUAUUAAUUCCACUGUUAAUCCAACACAGGAAUGCACUCAAGGAAAGAUCAAAAGAAGUAAAAGGAACUCGGCAAACACUUAAACCCCGCCUGUUUACCAAAAACAUCACCUCCAGCAUAACUAGUAUUGGAGGCACUGCCUGCCCAGUGACAACCGUUAAACGGCCGCGGUAUCCUG
rnacentral:rRNA from 1 species